CCUACGGGGGGCAGCAGUGGGGAAUUUUGCGCAAUGCUCGUAAGAGUGACGCAGCGACGCCGCGUGAAUGACGAAGGCCUUCGGGUCGUAAAGUUCUUUCGACAGGGAAGAAAAUGCCUAUAAGUAACUGUGUAUGUAUUGACGGUACCUGUAUAAGCAGCCCCGGCUAACUCCGUGCCAGCAGCCGCGGUAAUACGGAGGGGGCGAGCGUUGUUCGGAGGGACUGGGCGUAAAGAGAACGUAGGCGGUGUUGUAAGUCAUUAGUCAAAGACUAGAGCUCAAUUUUAGUAAGGCUAGUGAUAAUAUAAUACUAGAGUAUCAGAGAGGAUUGCAGAAUUCCUGGUGUAGCGGUGAAAUGCGUAGAUUUCAGGAGGAAUACCGUUAGCGAAGGCGGCAAUCUGGCUGGAAACUGACGCUGAGGUGCGAAAGCGUGGGUAGCAAACAGGAUUAGAUACCCGGGUAGUC
rnacentral:rRNA from 1 species